GAAAAAUAAAGGAAGAAAGAAUGUGGACAUUCACAUUCAUGUAUGCUCAUCCCGAGGGAGGACAUGUGGGUCUCUGCUUGUGAAGACUGGGGCUUUCGUAAGUCCAGCUCAGAGGUGUCCCCGCUUCCCUGUGGAUCCCGAAACCCUGUCGGCGCCUCCGGGAACCAACUUGGACCACACCUUGAUUUUUUUGCUGGUUGCUGCGCAGUGCUCAGCUCCCAGCGCUCACCAAUCCUGCAGCAAACACUCUCAGAGCAGCCCCUGAGGGCCACCCUCUGCCAGGUGGAGGUACAGACGCAACUAAGACACCAAGGAGCUCCAGGCGUCCGCCUUUCCUGGCUCAGUGGCCCCUGA
rnacentral:lncRNA from 1 species